rnacentral:rRNA from 1 species
AGGGUUUGAUCAUGGCUCAGAUUGAACGCUGGCGGCAGGCUUAACACAUGCAAGUCGAGCGGAAACGAUGAAAAGCUUGCUUUUCAGGCGUCGAGCGGCGGACGGGUGAGUAAUGCUUGGGAAUAUGCCUUGAGGUGGGGGACAACAGUUGGAAACGACUGCUAAUACCGCAUAAUGUCUACGGACCAAAGGAGGGGAUCUUCGGACCUUUCGCCUUUAGAUUAGCCCAAGUGAGAUUAGCUAGUAGGUAAGGUAAUGGCUUACCUAGGCGACGAUCUCUAGCUGGUUUGAGAGGAUGAUCAGCCACACUGGGACUGAGACACGGCCCAGACUCCUACGGGAGGCAGCAGUGGGGAAUAUUGCACAAUGGGGGAAACCCUGAUGCAGCCAUGCCGCGUGUGUGAAGAAGGCCUUCGGGUUGUAAAGCACUUUCAGUCGUGAGGAAAGGGUGUAAGUUAAUACCUUGCAUCUGUGACGUUAGCGACAGAAGAAGCACCGGCUAACUCCGUGCCAGCAGCCGCGGUAAUACGGAGGGUGCGAGCGUUAAUCGGAAUUACUGGGCGUAAAGCGUGCGUAGGCGGUUAUUUAAGUCAGAUGUGAAAUCCCGGGGCUCAACCUCGGAACUGCAUUUGAAACUGGAUAACUAGAGUAUUGUAGAGGGUGGUGGAAUUUCC